rnacentral:rRNA from 1 species
GGAUCAUUACCGAGUGCGGGCCCUCUGGGUCCAACCUCCCAUCCGUGUCUAUCUGUACCCUGUUGCUUCGGCGUGGCCACGGCCCGCCGAAGACUAACAUUUGAACACUGUCUGAAGUUUGCAGUCUGAGUUUUUAGUUAAACAAUAAUUAAAACUUUCAACAACGGAUCUCUUGGUUCCGGCAUCGAUGAAGAACGCAGCGAAAUGCGAUAAUUAAUGUGAAUUGCAGAAUUCAGUGAAUCAUCGAGUCUUUGAACGCACAUUGCGCCCCCUGGUAUUCCGGGGGGCAUGCCUGUCCGAGCGUCAUUGCUGCCCUCAAGCACGGCUUGUGUGUUGGGCUUCCGUCCCUGGUAACGGGGACGGGCCCAAAAGGCAGUGGCGGCACCAUGUCUGGUCCUCGAGCGUAUGGGGCUUUGUCACCCGCUCCCGUAGGUCCAGCUGGCAGCUAGCCUCGCAACCAAUCUUUUUAACCAGGUUGACCUCGGAUCAGGUAGGGAUACCCGCUGACU